rnacentral:misc_RNA from 1 species
UCAUAUCAAAAAAAUAACAAUAAAUUCACUUGCUCAUUUUACAUGCUAAGAUGUAGAUUCAUAAAAGGCAACCAACCAAACAGCAGACAUUCAGCAAACAUCAUUUAGAAUGAACAAAAAAAAAAAAAGUUUUACAUUUUUCUUGCUGAUGAGUUUUCGAUAUUUAAUCGACUGAAAUAGGUUGCAUAUUCUCAGCUUCUUUCCUCAGAUCUUGAUACAACACAGAUGAUAAGUAUCGCUCACCAAAACUUGCAUGUACAGUCACUAUGAGUUUGCCUUUGUUUUCUGGUUUUUGAGCUAGUCUAAGAGCUGCUACUGUAUUAGCUCCCGACGAUAUCCCAACCAUGAGUCCUUCCUUCACUGCCAACUCCCUAGCCAUGUUUACAGCGUCUUCGCUAGAAACCAUUAGUACUUCCUCCAUUAGAUCCAUAUCAAGGAUAUCUGGCUUGAACCCGACCCCAUUUCCCGUUAUAUGAUGAGGACCUGGUUUUCCACCAUUCAGUAUAUUGCUUUCAGUUGGCUCAAGUCCAUAUAUCUUGACAUUAGGAUUUUUGGAUUUAAGAUAUUGUCCAACACCAGUAACAGUGCCUCCACUUCCUAUUCCCAUAACAAAUAUAUCAACAUUACCUAGACUUUCUUCCCAUAUUUCAGGGCCAGUUGUGUCAAAAUGAACCUGAGUGUUUGCGGGGUUGGAAAAUUGUUGAAGCAUGAAAGCAUUAGGUGUCGAUUCCAAAAGAUCAUAAGCCUUCUUAACAGUGCCUCCCAUUCCUUUGGUUGGAUCGGUGAGGAUUAAGUCGGCUCCAAAUGCUCUCAUUGUCACUCUCCUCUCCAUGCUCGUGUACGAUGGCAUAGUCAAAACCAUUUUGUAGCCUUUCAUUGCUGCCAUAAAUGCCAUACUGAUCCCCAUAUUUCCUGAUGUUGGCUCAAUCAACGUCGUCUUUUCAGGUGAUAUUAAGCCUUUUUUUUCUGCAUCAUUGAUCAUUGCCAAUGCUGGUCUGUCUUUGAUGCUAGAAGUAGGCUGAAACAUCUCCUGUUUCACAGCUAUAUAGGCUCCACAUCCUUCUGUCACUUUUUUAAGAUAAACCAUUGGUGUUUUCCCAAUUAAUUGAGAAACUUCAGACUUGAUGUUAGUAUGAGGAAGUUGUGUAGAGAACAAUCUGUUGCUAGCUGCUCUCAUCAAAUCAACAUUAUUAUAAUCUAAUGAUCUUUUCUUCAAGAAUCUGCUUAAACUUGCCAUUGAUGAAUUCUUCAAAAUUAUUGCACUUUAAAUUUUACACAAAAAAAGGUACUCUCUAUGCAAUUGACCUU